GAUAAAUUGUUGAAGAAGUUGAAAUUAUCGAAAGAGAUUCACUACGAUCUAUAUUCACACAAGCAGAGUAUUCUCGAGAAGAAAUUGAUGAGGUGCGAUCGGAGUUGACAGAAUGUAUACAAGAUCAUAUUUAUGAGUAGGUGGAUACAGGACAGUCGAGAUCAGUACACUAAGGAGCGUCUAGAUUCAGUAAUUGAUCAGUACACUAAGCGUCUGGAUUCAGUAACUACUGUACUGUUUUGAGUAAAUAGAUUGUUGGCUACUUCUUCAGUAUUCAGUAGCUACUUCUUAGAAGUAAACAGAUUGUUGGCUAAACAGAUUGUAGCUGUUCAAAACAGAUUUUUUGUGCUCUUUCGUUUUAUAUGUGAAUAUCACUAUAUACUUUGAAACAAAAUUAGUGUUAAUU